AGUAGUGAAGUAAUAAUAUACAAUUAGUUUCGACCUAAAAUUAAGAGUUUAUCUCCUUACUU
rnacentral:tRNA from 1 species